ACGGAAGGCAGCAGUGGGGGAUAUUGCACAAUGGGGGAAACCCUGAUGCAGCGACGCCGCGUGAGUGAUGAAGUAUUUCGGUAUGUAAAGCUCUAUCAGCAGGAAAGAUAAUGACGGUACCUGACUAAGAAGCACCGGCUAAAUACGUGCCAGCAGCCGCGGUAAUACGUAUGGUGCAAGCGUUAUCCGGAUUUACUGGGUGUAAAGGGAGCGCAGACGGCAUGGCAAGCCAGAUGUGAAAGGCAGGGGCUCAACUUCUGGACUGCAUUUGGAACUGUCAAGCUAGAGUAUCGGAGAGGUAAGUGGAAUUCCUAGUGUAGCGGUGAAAUGCGUAGAUAUUAGGAGGAACACCAGUGGCGAAGGCGGCUUACUGGACGAUAACUGACGCUGAGGCUCGAAAGCGUGGGGAGCAAACAGGAUUAGAUACCCUGGUA
rnacentral:rRNA from 1 species